rnacentral:rRNA from 1 species
AACGUAGGAGCCAAGCGUUAUCCGAAUUCACUGGGCGUAAAGCGCGUGCAGGCGGUCCGGUAAGUUGGAUGUGAAAUCUCCCGGCUCAACUGGGAGAGGCCGUUCGAUACUGUCGGACUAGAGGGCGACAGAGGGAGGUGGAAUUCCGGGUGUAGUGGUGAAAUGCGUAGAUAUCCGGAGGAACACCAGAGGCGAAGGCGACCUCCUGGGUCGUACCUGACGCUCAGAUGCGAAAGCUAGGGGAGCGAAC